rnacentral:rRNA from 1 species
UACAGAGGUCCCAAGCGUUGUUCGGAUUCACUGGGCGUAAAGGGUGCGUAGGCGGUCGGGUAAGUCUGAUGUGAAAUCUCACAGCUUAACUGUGAAACUGCAUUGGAUACUAUCCGGCUCGAGGAAUGGAGGGGAGACUGGAAUACUUGGUGUAGCAGUGAAAUGCGUAGAUAUCUGGAGGAACACCGGUGGCGAAGGCGGCAUCCUGGACCGGCAUUGACGCUGAGGCGCGAAAGCCAGGGGAGCAAACGGG